CAGGGGGAGACGACGUCGUUUGGGGCGGAGAAGAGAAGAGAAGAGAAGAGGAGAAAUGCAACAGAGUUGGUUCUGGGGAUGGUUUUUCAUCGGAUCGGGGUCUCUCUUCUUUGUGGGGUUUCUCUACGCUACCAUCUUCUCCAAGCUUCUUCCCCCAUCCGAUAAUACCAUCAUCUCUGCCAUCCAAAACGAUCGGUAUUAUUGCUUCUUGGUGCCACUGACUCUCCCAGUCCUUUUGGUUGCCGUGUAUUUUCAUUGGCUCAGCAUGAAGAUGUUCAAACAUGCCUGAUUUUUUGUCAAGCCCAACAGGAAGGAAAUAGCUCCAUUUAAGAUCAUGAGUUCUUAUUGUCAAAUGCUGCAAACACAAAAAAUGCAAGAUGUAGCAGUUUUUAACAAGCAAAUCUUCUCAAGUUCUGCUAAAGGAAGGGAAGAAGGAGAAAGCAGUUGCUGCUAAAGAGACGAGGAAUGAGAUAGAGUAGGUCUGAGAGAGUUUGGAGGGAAAAAAAAAAGGCUGAAAAAUCAGAUCCUCUCAACUGCUCUGAAAUUUUAUAUUGGUUACACCUGAUGUAUUUGAGUUGCUGUAAUGAUUUCGCCAAUUGAUAUUAGUUAGUAGUUGACUGUUACAUGAGUUACAUACGUAUUUCAAAUUUUUGUACUCGGGUAGUUGUUGUAUAUCUAUGCAAUCAGGGCUUAGCUGGACUUAUGAUGUCAAUUUUGUUUGAUAAUUUUUGGUGAUAACAUAAUCUAUUCCCGUUGGCA